GGCAGCGAUAAUGAAUGGUAGGA
rnacentral:piRNA from 1 species